rnacentral:tRNA from 1 species
CAUCCGGUCGUCUAGCCCGGUCAAGGAUGUCGGCCUCUCGAGCCGAGGACCCGGGUUCAAAUCCCGGCCGGGGCACCA